rnacentral:rRNA from 1 species
CUCGUAGGCGGUUCGUCGCGUCCGGUGUGAAAGUCCAUCGCCUAACGGUGGAUCUGCGCCGGGUACGGGCGGGCUGGAGUGCGGUAGGGGAGACUGGAAUUCCCGGUGUAACGGUGGAAUGUGUAGAUAUCGGGAGGAACACCAGUGGCGAAGGCGGCCUACUGGGCACCAACUGACGCUGAGGCUCGAAAGUGUGGGUAGCAAAACA